ACUCCUACGGGAGGCAGCAGUAGGGAAUCUUCCACAAUGGGCGCAAGCCUGAUGGAGCAACACCGCGUGAGUGAAGAAGGGUUUCGGCUCGUAAAGCUCUGUUGUUAAAGAAGAACACGUAUGAGAGUAACUGUUCAUACGUUGACGGUAUUUAACCAGAAAGUCACGGCUAACUACGUGCCAGCAGCCGCGGUAAUACGUAGGUGGCAGGCGUUAUCCGGAUUUAUUGGGCGUAAAGAGAGUGCAGGCGGUUUUCUAAGUCUGAUGUGAAAGCCUUCGGCUUAACCGGAGAAGUGCAUCGGAAACUGGAUAACUUGAGUGCAGAAGAGGUAGUGGAACUCCAUGUGUAGCGGUGGAAUGCGUAGAUAUAUGGAAGAACACCAGUGGCGAAGGCGGCUACCUGGUCUGCAACUGACGCUGAGACUCGAAAGCAUGGGUAGCGAACAGGAUUAGAUACCCCGU
rnacentral:rRNA from 1 species